GAUGAACGCUAGCGGGAGGCCUAACACAUGCAAGCCGAGCGGUAUGGGUAGCUUGCUACCCAGAGAGCGGCGUACGGGUGCGUAACACGUGUGCAACCUGCCCCUAUCCGGGGGAUAGCCCUCCGAAAGGAGGAUUAAUACCCCAUAAUAUAUCUGGUGGCAUCACUAGAUAUUGAAAACCCCGGUGGAUAGGGAUGGGCACGCGCAAGAUUAGAUAGUUGGCGGGGUAACGGCCCACCAAGUCGAUGAUCUUUAGGGGUCCUGAGAGGGUGCUCCCCCACACUGGAGCUAAGACACGGACCAGACUCGUACGGGAGGCAGCAGUAAGGAAUAUUGGACAAGGGGUGGAAGCCUGAUCCAGCCAUCCCGCGUAAGGGACGACGGCCCUAUGGGUUGUAAACCUCUUUUGUACGGGGAUAAACCUAUCUACGUGUAGAUAGCUGAAGGUACCGUACGAAUAAGCACCGGCUAACUCCGUG
rnacentral:rRNA from 1 species